rnacentral:rRNA from 1 species
UACGUAGGCAGCAAGCGUUGUUCGGAGUUACUGGGCGUAAAGGGUGUGUAGGCGGUUUUUUAAGUUUGGUGUGAAAUCUCCCGGCUCAACUGGGAGGGUGCGCCGAAUACUGAAAGACUAGAGUGCGGGAGAGGAAAGUGGAAUUCCUGGUGUAGCCGUGAAAUGCGUAGAUAUCAGGAGGAACACCGGUGGUGUAGACGGCUUUCUGGACCGUAACUGACGCUGAGACACGAAAGCGUGGGUAGCAAACAGG